AGAGUUUGAUCCUGGCUCAGAUUGAACGCUGGCGGUAUGCCUUACACAUGCAAGUCGAACGGUAGAGGAGCAAUCCUCGAGAGUGGCGAACGGGUGAGUAAUACAUCGGAACGUGCCCAGUCGUGGGGGAUAACGUAGCGAAAGCUACGCUAAUACCGCAUACGACCCGAGGGUGAAAGCGGGGGACUCGCAAGAGCCUCGCGCGAUUGGAGCGGCCGAUGGCAGAUUAGGUAGUUGGUGGGGUAAAGGCCCACCAAGCCUGCGAUCUGUAGCUGGUCUGAGAGGACGACCAGCCACACUGGGACUGAGACACGGCCCAGACUCCUACGGGAGGCAGCAGUGGGGAAUUUUGGACAAUGGGCGAAAGCCUGAUCCAGCCAUACCGCGUGCGGGAAGAAGGCCUUCGGGUUGUAAACCGCUUUUGUCAGGGAAGAAAUACUUCGGGCUAAUACCCUGGGGUGAUGACGGUACCUGAAGAAUAAGCACCGGCUAACUACGUGCCAGCAGCCGCGGUAAUACGUAGGGUGCAAGCGUUAAUCGGAAUUACUGGGCGUAAAGCGUGCGC
rnacentral:rRNA from 1 species